CUAUAAAAGAUGUAACAGAUGCAAACUGUAACACAAGGGCCAUUAACCCUUUCUCUGCCAAGCACACUCAGUCCCCACGCCCCGCACCUAUUGUCUCCUGUGUUAGAAGCUUUGCAGAAAACCUGGAA
ensembl:misc_RNA